GCAAGUCGAACGCGAAAACCCCGCAAGGGGUGAGUAGAGUGGCAAACGGGUGAGUAACACGUGGGUGACCUGCCUCAGAGUGGGGGAUAACGACCCGAAAGGGUCGCUAAUACCGCAUAACAUCCUGCGCUUGGAAGCGUGGAGAUCAAAGCCGGGGAUCGCAAGACCUGGCGCUUGGAGAGGGGCCCGCGGCCGAUUAGCUAGUUGGUAGGGUAACGGCCUACCAAGGCAACGAUCGGUAUCCGGCCUGAGAGGGCGGACGGACACACUGGGACUGAGACACGGCCCAGACUCCUACGGGAGGCAGCAGUGGGGAAUUGUUCGCAAUGGGCGCAAGCCUGACGACGCAACGCCGCGUGGAGGAUGAAGAUCUUCGGGUCGUAAACUCCUUUCGAUCGGGAAGAACGUUUUCGGGGUGAACAAUCCCGAGAAGUGACGGUACCGAGAGAAGAAGCCCCGGCUAACUCUGUGCCAGCAGCCGCGGUAAUACAGGGGGGGCAAGCGUUGUUCGGAAUUACUGGGCGUAAAGGGCCAGUAGGCGGCCAACUAAGUCCGACGUGAAAUCCCCAGGCUUAACCUGGGAACUGCGUCGGAUACUGGAUGGCUUGAAUUCGGGAGAGGGAUGCAGAAUUCCAGGUGUAGCGGUGAAAUGCGUAGAUAUCUGGAGGAAUACCGGUGGCGAAGGCGGCAUCCUGGACCGACAUUGACGCUGAACGGCGAAAGCUAGGGGAGCAAACGGGAUUAGAUACCCCGGUAGUCCUAGCCCUAAACGAUGAAUGUUUGGUG
rnacentral:rRNA from 1 species